GGGUUGUGAGGUUAAGCGACUAAGCGUACACGGUGGAUGCCCUGGCAGUCAGAGGCGAUGAAGGACGUGCUAAUCUGCGAAAAGCGUCGGUAAGGUGAUAUGAACCGUUACAGCCGGCGAUGUCCGAAUGGGGAAACCCAGUGCAAUUCGUUGCACUAUCGUUAACUGAAUACAUAGGUUAACGAGGCGAACCGGGGGAACUGAAACAUCUAAGUACCCCGAGGAAAAGAAAUCAACCGAGAUUCCCCCAGUAGCGGCGAGCGAACGGGGAGCAGCCCAGAGUCUGAAUCAGCUUGUGUGUUAGUGGAACGGUCUGGAAAGUCCGACGGUACAGGGUGAUAGUCCCGUACACCAAAAUGCACAGGCUGUGAACUCGAAGAGUAGGGCGGGACACGUGGUAUCCUGUCUGAAUAUGGGGGGACCAUCCUCCAAGGCUAAAUACUCCUGACUGACCGAUAGUGAACCAGUACCGUGAGGGAAAGGCGAAAAGAACCCCGGCGAGGGGAGUGAAAAAGAACCUGAAACCGUGUACGUACAAGCAGUGGGAGCACCUUCGGGUGUGACUGCGUACCUUUUGUAUAAUGGGUCAGCGACUUAUAUUCUGUAGCAAGGUUAACCGUAUAGGGGAGCCGCAGGGAAACCGAGUCUUAACUGGGCGUUAAGUUGCAGGGUAUAGACCCGAAACCCGGUGAUCUAGCCAUGGGCAGGUUGAAGGUUGGGUAACACUAACUGGAGGACCGAACCGACUAAUGUUGAAAAAUUAGCGGAUGACUUGUGGCUGGGGGUGAAAGGCCAAUCAAACCGGGAGAUAGCUGGUUCUCCCCGAAAGCUAUUUAGGUAGCGCCUCGUGAAUUCAUCUUCGGGGGUAGAGCACUGUUUCGGCUAGGGGGUCAUCCCGACUUACCAACCCGAUGCAAACUACGAAUACCGAAGAAUGUUAUCACGGGAGACACACGGCGGGUGCUAACGUCCGUCGUGAAGAGGGAAACAACCCAGACCGCCAGCUAAGGUCCCAAAGUCACAGUUAAGUGGGAAACGAUGUGGGAAGGCACAGACAGCCAGGAUGUUGGCUUAGAAGCAGCCAUCAUUUAAAGAAAGCGUAAUAGCUCACUGGUCGAGUCGGCCUGCGCGGAAGAUGUAACGGGGCUAAACUGUGCACCGAAGCUGCGGCAGCGACACUAUGUGUUGUUGGGUAGGGGAGCGUUCUGUAAGCCUGCGAAGGUGGCCUGUGAGGGUUGCUGGAGGUAUCAGAAGUGCGAAUGCUGACAUAAGUAACGAUAAUGCGGGUGAAAAGCCCGCACGCCGGAAGACCAAGGGUUCCUGUCCAACGUUAAUCGGGGCAGGGUGAGUCGACCCCUAAGGCGAGGCCGAAAGGCGUAGUCGAUGGGAAACAGGUUAAUAUUCCUGUACUUGGUGUUACUGCGAAGGGGGGACGGAGAAGGCUAUGUUAGCCGGGCGACGGUUGUCCCGGUUUAAGCAUGUAGGCGGAGGUUCCAGGUAAAUCCGGUACCUUUUAACGCUGAGGUGUGAUGACGAGGCACUACGGUGCUGAAGUAACAAAUGCCCUGCUUCCAGGAAAAGCCUCUAAGCAUCAGGUAACAUUGAAUCGUACCCCAAACCGACACAGGUGGUCAGGUAGAGAAUACCAAGGCGCUUGAGAGAACUCGGGUGAAGGAACUAGGCAAAAUGGUGCCGUAACUUCGGGAGAAGGCACGCUGAUAUGUAGGUGAAGCCCCUGCGGGUGGAGCUGAAAUCAGUCGAAGAUACCAGCUGGCUGCAACUGUUUAUUAAAAACACAGCACUGUGCAAACACGAAAGUGGACGUAUACGGUGUGACGCCUGCCCGGUGCCGGAAGGUUAAUUGAUGGGGUUAUCCGUAAGGAGAAGCUCUUGAUCGAAGCCCCGGUAAACGGCGGCCGUAACUAUAACGGUCCUAAGGUAGCGAAAUUCCUUGUCGGGUAAGUUCCGACCUGCACGAAUGGCGUAAUGAUGGCCAGGCUGUCUCCACCCGAGACUCAGUGAAAUUGAACUCGCUGUGAAGAUGCAGUGUACCCGCGGCAAGACGGAAAGACCCCGUGAACCUUUACUAUAGCUUGACACUGAACAUUGAGCCUUGAUGUGUAGGAUAGGUGGGAGGCUUUGAAGCGUGGACGCCAGUCUGCGUGGAGCCAACCUUGAAAUACCACCCUUUAAUGUUUGAUGUUCUAACGUUGGCCCCUUAUCGGGGUUGCGGACAGUGUCUGGUGGGUAGUUUGACUGGGGCGGUCUCCUCCCAAAGAGUAACGGAGGAGCACGAAGGUUAGCUAAUCCUGGUCGGACAUCAGGAGGUUAGUGCAAUGGCAUAAGCUAGCUUGACUGCGAGCGUGACGGCGCGAGCAGGUGCGAAAGCAGGUCAUAGUGAUCCGGUGGUUCUGAAUGGAAGGGCCAUCGCUCAACGGAUAAAAGGUACUCCGGGGAUAACAGGCUGAUACCGCCCAAGAGUUCAUAUCGACGGCGGUGUUUGGCACCUCGAUGUCGGCUCAUCACAUCCUGGGGCUGAAGUAGGUCCCAAGGGUAUGGCUGUUCGCCAUUUAAAGUGGUACGCGAGCUGGGUUUAGAACGUCGUGAGACAGUUCGGUCCCUAUCUGCCGUGGGCGCUGGAGAAUUGAGGGGGGCUGCUCCUAGUACGAGAGGACCGGAGUGGACGCAUCACUGGUGUUCGGGUUGUCAUGCCAAUGGCAUUGCCCGGUAGCUAAAUGCGGAAGAGAUAAGUGCUGAAAGCAUCUAAGCACGAAACUUGCCCCGAGAUGAGUUCUCCCUGACUCCUUGAGAGUCCUGAAGGAACGUUAAAGACGAUGACGUUGAUAGGUCGGGUGUGUAAGCGUAGCGAUACGUUGAGCUAACCGAUACUAAUGAACCGUGAGGCUUAACCUUACAACGCCGAAGGUGUUU
rnacentral:rRNA from 1 species